GUAGUUUGUGAGGUAUUGGCCCUCUCUAAAGCCAGUAACCCCAAGCUUGUCUUUCUUUGUGAAACUAGACAAGCUUUAGAUAAAGUUGAGAAGUUAAGAUUGAGACUAGGUGUGAAAGGUUUCCAUGCAGUGAGUAGUGACGAAAGAAGUGGAGGCUUGGUACUUUUCUGGGAUGAGUAUUUAUUAGUGAUUGUACUUGAUGCAUGCAACAGGUACAUUGAUGUUAAUAUUUUGGAUGGUGGAUCUGGUAUUUCUUGGAGGGGAACCUUUGUGUAUGGGGAACCAAGAGUUGAAAACAGAUGGCAUAUGUGCAUUACUGCAGGAUGCUGCUAA
rnacentral:rRNA from 1 species